GGCCUGAUAGUUCAGUGGUAGAAUUCUUGCUUUGGGUGUAAGAGGGUGAGUUUAAAUUAAAUAUCCACACAGUGUAUAGGAUACUAACAGGUUAAAGUCUCCGGUUCGAUCCCGGAUUAGGCCC